CCUACGGGAGGCAGCAGUGGGGGAUAUUGCACAAUGGGGGAAACCCUGAUGCAGCGACGCCGCGUGGGUGAAGAAGCGCCUCGGCGCGUAAAGCCCUGUCAGCAGGGAAGAAAAUGACGGUACCUGAAGAAGAAGCCCCGGCUAACUACGUGCCAGCAGCCGCGGUAAUACGUAGGGGGCAAGCGUUAUCCGGAUUUACUGGGUGUAAAGGGGGCGCAGACGGGGAUGCAAGCCAGGAGUGAAAGCCCGGGGCCCAACCCCGGGACUGCUCUUGGAACUGCGUGGCUAGAGUGCAGGAGGGGCAGGCGGAAGUCCUGGUGUAGCGGUGAAAUGCGUAGAGAUCAGGAGGAACACCGGUGGCGAAGGCGGCCUGCUGGACUGCAACUGACGUUGAGGCCCGAAAGCGUGGGGAGCAAACAGGAUUAGAUACCCUAGUAGUC
rnacentral:rRNA from 1 species